rnacentral:misc_RNA from 1 species
GAUGAAGAACGCAGCAAAAUGCGAUAAGUAAUGUGAAUUGCAGAAUUCAGUGAAUCAUCGAAUCUUUGAACGCACAUUGCGCCCGCUGGUAUUCCGGCGGGCAUGCCUGUUCGAGCGUCAUUUCAACCCUCAAGCCCCCGGGUUUGGUGUUGGGGAUCGGCUCUGCCUUCUGGCGGUGCCGCCCCCGAAAUACAUUGGCGGUCUCGCUGCAGCCUCCAUUGCGUAGUAGCUAACACCUCGCAACUGGAACGCGGCGCGGCCAUGCCGUAAAACCCCAACUUCUGAAUGUUGACCUCGGAUCAGGUAGGAAUACCCGCUGAACUUAAGCAUAUAAUAAGCGGAGGA